UUGAACGCUGGCGGCAUGCCUAACACAUGCAAGUCGAAACGGCAACAUGAUUUGUAGCAAUACAAAUUGAUGGCGAGUGGCGGAACGGGUGAGUAACGCGUAGGAAUCUGCCCUGUUAGAGGGGGACAACCCGGGGAAACCCGGGGCUAAUACCGCAUAAUACUCUGAGGAGGAAAGCUUCCCGGACUUGAUCCGGGGAGGCGCUAUGGGAGGAGCCUGCGUCCGAUUAGCUAGCUGGUGAGGUAAAGGCUCACCAGGGGCGAUGAUCGGUAACUGGUCUGAGAGGAUGAUCAGUCAACACUGGGACUGAGACACGGCCCAGACUCCUACGGGGAGGCAGCAGUGGGGAAUAUUGGACAAUGGGGGGAAACCCUGAUCCAAGCAAUUGCCGCGUGUGUGAAGAAGGCCUUCGGGUUGUAAAGCACUUUAAGGCGGGGGAAGAAGAUUUGGUGUAGAGCCAAGUUUGACGGUACCCGCAGAAUAAGCAACCGGCUAACUCUGUGCCAGCAGCCGCGGUAAUACAGAGGGUGCGAGCGUUAAUCGGAAUUACUGGGCGUAAAGGGCGCGUAGGCGGAAGAUUAAGUGAGAUGUUGAAAUCCCCGGGCUUAACCUGGGAACUGCAUCUUAAAACUGAUUUUCUAGAGUAUUGUAGAGGAUAGUGGAAUUUCCGGUGUAGCGGUGAAAUGCGUAGGAGAUCGGAAGGAACAAUCAGUGGCGAAGGCGGCUAUCUGGACAAAUACUGACGCUGAGGCGCGAAAGGCGUGGGGAGCAAACAGGAUUAGAUACCCUGGUAGUCCACGCUUGUAAACGAUGAGAACUAGAAUGUUGGCAGGGCAUGACCUGUUAGUAUCGAAGCUAACGCCGAUAAGUUUUUCCGCCUGGGGAGUACGGCCGCAAGGUUAAAAACUCAAAGGAAUUGACGGGGGCCCGCACAAGCGGUGGAGCAUGUGGUUUUAAUUCGAUGCCAACGCGAAGAAACCUACCUACCCUUGACAUCCACGGAAAUUUUGCAGAGAUGUAAAAGUGCCGAAAAGGAACCGUGAGACAGGUGCUUGCAUGGCUGUCGUCAGCUCGUGUUGUGAGAUGUUGGGUUAAGUCCCGUAACGAGCGCAACCCUUGUCUUUAGUUUGGCCAAACGCGUCAAUGGCGGGGACUCUAAAGGGAGACUGCCGGUGACUAGAGCCGGAGGAAGGUGGGGACUGACGUCAAGUCCGUCAUGGCCCUUAUGGGUAGGGGCUUACACACGUGCCCAUAACAAUGGGCCGGUACAGAGGGUACGCCAACCCGCGAAGGGGGAGCCCAAUCCCAGAAAAGCCCGUCCGUAGUCCGGAUUGGCAGUCUGCAACCUCGACUGCAUGAAAGUCGGAAUCGCUAGUAAUCGCGAAUCAGCAAUGUGUCCGCGGUGAAUACGUUUCCCGGGUCCUUGGUACACAACCCGCCCGUCAACACCAUGGGAGUGGGGUGUCACCAGAAGUAGGUAGGCUAACCGCAAGGGGGAACCGUUCCUUAGCCACGGUAUGCUUCAUGACUGGGGUG
rnacentral:rRNA from 1 species